GACCGCUCCGGUAGCAUAAUGGUUAGAGCGUUCACCUCAGAUGUGGGAGGUCGAGGGUUCGAAUCCCGACCGAGUCA